GGUAAUGUGGGCCAGGAUGAGCGCUGAUGGGACUGUUUGAUUGGCUCUGGCCCAUUGUGGUGAUAUUCUGGUUGAAGGUUAUUAUUGUAUGCAAACACCUUUAUAAACAAGGAAUUUAGUGCCAGGCAAUUUUUUUUCCUCCAAUUCUUAUAUUGUAAUGACUCAAUUUAAUUGUGAAAGAAAAGCAGAAUUCACUCUUGAAAACCAAAGAAAUCUUUCAAAGGAAUUUUACUCUUACUCAUAAAGAGCAGUAAUAUUAAUAUGGAAAAUUAGAUAGGGAGGUCCAAAAUUUUCAUCACAUUAAUUAUGACAUGAUUAAAUUUUUGGUGUGAUGGUAGAAGGCAGUGAUGAAGGUGGGCACUGUUUUUUGGUUAAAUUCUAGAAAGGUUAAGAUAUUGCCCUGGAACAGGAGAUUCUAUAAAUGUCUUUACAUGCAUUCUGUUGUUGGUGUAUUAUAAGAGACACUAGGGUUAGGGCCCUUGGUAGAAGGGAAGUGAGUGCUGGCCUCUGUGAACUUCUAAUAAUUUUACAUGUGUAAGAUUUGGUGACAAUGUACUUCUUGAUGCAUGCCUGCGUAUUACAUUGCCUCUAUUGAGUUGCAUUCAACCCUUGUUCCCACCCAUAGGCCUAUGUCCAACAACU
rnacentral:misc_RNA from 1 species